rnacentral:rRNA from 1 species
UACGUAGGCGGAAAAUUAAGUCAGUAGUGAAAUCCCGCAGCUUAACUGUGGAACUGAUAUUGAUACUGGUUUUCUUGAAUAUAGUUGAGGUAGGCGGAAUGUGUAAUGUAGCGGUGAAAUGCUUAGAUAUUACACAGAACACCGAUUGCGAAGGCAGCUUACUAAGCUAUGAUUGACGCUGAGGUACGAAAGCGUGGGGAGCGAACAGGAUUAGAUACCCUGGUAGUCC